AGAACAAACCCCAUGAAUAUUUAAACAAUUUAUAGAUAACAAUUUAACCGGAUACGAAGAAUUCAGCUCAACAUAUAUAGAUGAUAUAAUAAUAUUUACAAAAUAUAAUGAAAGCGACAAUCUUGAAAAAGUAUAUAAAAUACUAGAAGGAUGUAAAGAAAAAUUAAGGUUUAGUAUUAAGCCAAAAGAAAUCUCAAAUACUUAAACAAAAAUUGAAUUCUUAGGGUUAGAAAUAAAUAGCAACGAAACAAUUGUCGCACAACAACACAUACUUGAAAAAAUAAAUCAAUUUCCUAACCAUCUAUAGGAUAGAAAGCAAGUACAACGCUUUCUUGGGAAUCUAAACUAUUUAGCUGAUCAAGGAUUUUUUAAAAAUCUUGCAAAACAAAGAAACUCUUUACAACAAAAAUUAUCUGAAAAAAUUCCUUGCAAAUGGACAGAAGAAGAUAGCGAGGUUGUUGUAAAACUAAAGGAAAUGUGUAAUAAAUUACCUGAAUUAUAUAAUCCAAGUGAUGAUGAUAUACUCAUCGUCUCUACUGACGCAUGCGUAACACAUUGGGGAGCCACUGUUACAGUGUUAUAUGGCAAAAAGUCAGAAACAACUGAAAAAAUAAAAAAAUUAAUAACUCAAAAAACUUCCUUGAAACAAAAGAAAGUAGUAAAAAUAAUAGCCGUAUUUUCACUAAUACUCAACAAAAAUACCCGAUACAUGAAUUAGAAACAUUAACAGCUAUAAAAACAUUUAAAAAUGGCAGAUUGAUUUAAGACCAAUCACGUUUUAUCUAAGAACUGAUUCAAAAUACUUGAUCUGAUUUCAAAACUAUAACAUAAAGGCAAACUAUAAUCAAGGAAGCCUAAUAAGAUGGCAGAUACAAAUAUCAUAAUACUCAUAUGUACCAGUAUAUAUAAAAAGAGAAUUAAAAAAGGGAAUUCAGAGAUAAAAACCCAAAAUAAACAAUUAUAUUUAUCAAUAGAAGAAUUGAUAAAUUAUCAUUAAUAGUUAUCUAUCAAUGAUAAAUUUAUCAAUUACUAUUUGAUAAAUACUCUCGAUAUAGAGAUUAUAUCAUAUAAAAUAAUCAGCCAUAAGACGCACAAAACAUUUCAAUUUCAAGAAACCAUGGAGGCAGCAAUAAAAACUUUGGAAAAUCAACUCAAGCAGAAGAAAGAAAACCUAAAGAAGCUCUAAGACGAAGUAAAUUCACUCGAAUCAGUCAUCCAAAACCUAAAACCAAAAAACCAAAUCCAAAACAC